UCAGGGCUAGUGUGAUGAGAGUGCUGCCUUUGACCAUCUAGGUCGAUUAAGUUUUUGGUUUUGAUUAUUUUGACUCUAGUUGGAUAAUUGUAUUUGGUACUUUAUUAAUUGAUCACCACUGUUAAUAUUUUGAGGUACGUUGUUAGUGCUUUGUUUAUUUAUUUUGAGGUUUAUUGUGCUUUACACGUGACCUCCUUUUCCUAUUCGGGAAAGGGGUGUUACAUAAGUACUCUCAUUUAUUUCUAAUAAGAUUAUAAGAC
rnacentral:lncRNA from 1 species